rnacentral:rRNA from 1 species
CAGCUUGCUGUUUCGCUGACGAGUGGCGGACGGGUGAGUAAUGUCUGGGAAACUGCCUGAUGGAGGGGGAUAACUACUGGAAACGGUAGCUAAUACCGCAUAACGUCGCAAGACCAAAGAGGGGGACCCUCGGGCCUCUUGCCAUCGGAUGUGCCCAGAUGGGAUUAGCUUGUUGGUGGGGUAACGGCUCACCAAGGCGACGAUCCCUAGCUGGUCUGAGAGGAUGACCAGCCACACUGGAACUGAGACACGGUCCAGACUCCUACGGGAGGCAGCAGUGGGGAAUAUUGCACAAUGGGCGCAAGCCUGAUGCAGCCAUGCCGCGUGUAUGAAGAAGGCCUUCGGGUUGUAAAGUACUUUCAGCGGGGAGGAAGGGAGUAAAGUUAAUACCUUUGCUCAUUGACGUUACCCGCAGAAGAAGCACCGGCUAACUCCGUGCCAGCAGCCGCGGUAAUACGGAGGGUGCAAGCGUUAAUCGGAAUUACUGGGCGUAAAGCGCACGCAGGCGGUUUGUUAAGUCGGAUGUGAAAUCCCCGGGCUCAACAUGGGAACUGCAUCUGAUACUGGCAAGCUUGAGUCUCGUAGAGGGGGGUAGAAUUCCAGGUGUAGCGGUGAAAUGCGUAGAGAUCUGGAGGAAUACCGGUGGCGAAG